GACGAACGCUGGCGGCGUGCCUAAUACAUGCAAGUAGAACGCUGAAGAAGAGGAGCUUGCUCUUCUUGGAUGAGUUGCGAACGGGUGAGUAACGCGUAGGUAACCUGCCUUGUAGCGGGGGAUAACUAUUGGAAACGAUAGCUAAUACCGCAUAACAAUGGAUGACACAUGUCAUUUAUUUGAAAGGGGCAAUUGCUCCACUACAAGAUGGACCUGCGUUGUAUUAGCUAGUAGGUGAGGUAACGGCUCACCUAGGCGACGAUACAUAGCCGACCUGAGAGGGUGAUCGGCCACACUGGGACUGAGACACGGCCCAGACUCCUACGGGAGGCAGCAGUAGGGAAUCUUCGGCAAUGGGGGCAACCCUGACCGAGCAACGCCGCGUGAGUGAAGAAGGUUUUCGGAUCGUAAAGCUCUGUUGUAAGUCAAGAACGAGUGUGAGAGUGGAAAGUUCACACUGUGACGGUAGCUUACCAGAAAGGGACGGCUAACUACGUGCCAGCAGCCGCGGUAAUACUUAGGUCCCGAGCGUUGUCCGGAUUUUUUGGGCGUAAAGCGAGCGCAGGCGGUUUGAUAAGUCUGAAGUUAAAGGCUGUGGCUCAACCAUAGUUCGCUUUGGAAACUGUCAAACUUGAGUGCAGAAGGGGAGAGUGGAAUUCCAUGUGUAGCGGUGAAAUGCGUAGAUAUAUGGAGGAACACCGGUGGCGAAAGCGGCUCUCUGGUCUGUAACUGACGCUGAGGCUCGAAAGCGUGGGGAGCGAACAGGAUUAGAUACCCUGGUAGUCCACGCCGUAAACGAUGAGUGCUAGGUGUUGGAUCCUUUCCGGGAUUCAGUGCCGCAGCUAACGCAUUAAGCACUCCGCCUGGGGAGUACGACCGCAAGGUUGAAACUCAAAGGAAUUGACGGGGGCCCGCACAAGCGGUGGAGCAUGUGGUUUAAUUCGAAGCAACGCGAAGAACCUUACCAGGUCUUGACAUCCCGAUGCUAUUUCUAGAGAUAGAAAGUUACUUCGGUACAUCGGUGACAGGUGGUGCAUGGUUGUCGUCAGCUCGUGUCGUGAGAUGUUGGGUUAAGUCCCGCAACGAGCGCAACCCCUAUUGUUAGUUGCCAUCAUUCAGUUGGGCACUCUAGCGAGACUGCCGGUAAUAAACCGGAGGAAGGUGGGGAUGACGUCAAAUCAUCAUGCCCCUUAUGACCUGGGCUACACACGUGCUACAAUGGUUGGUACAACGAGUUGCGAGUCGGUGACGGCAAGCUAAUCUCUUAAAGCCAAUCUCAGUUCGGAUUGUAGGCUGCAACUCGCCUACAUGAAGUCGGAAUCGCUAGUAAUCGCGGAUCAGCACGCCGCGGUGAAUACGUUCCCGGGCCU
rnacentral:rRNA from 1 species